UUUGCAUCUUCGCUUUUAUUUUGCGCCGAUGUCACUCCAUUUUUUUAAGUUAAUCAAGUAAUCGUAAACUUGGCUAACGUGAAAUUAAUGUUUUGCUCGAAAUUGGUAUUUUUUUUGUCUGACUAGCAAAAAGAUUUAGCUAAAGGCAUGGGCGGCCAUAAAUAAAAAUAUGGCCUGCUAAGAGGCCUAUCCAUUUUUAUUUAUGCAAAAGUAACACGACUUCGGUCUAAUAACUUCGAAGCUAAACUUGGGCUCGAACGAUCAUCUCAUUUUUCUUUAACUUGCCCGGGGCUCAUACACGGUUCUCUUUGUAUGUUUGCCACUCAAACGACCAGAGCAUAGGAAUAUUUUGUUUCCUUCAAUGAAUACACACACGUCAUCUGAUAUAGUGAGGUCACUACUACAAUUGUGCAAAUUACCUCAAGGCACAACUGAAGGCCACCUACCAAAAAUUAUAGUCUCUCUAGAUGCAAAUUCCAGCCGUCUUCUCCUUUGAUGAAAAUGCACUUAC
rnacentral:lncRNA from 1 species